rnacentral:rRNA from 1 species
GAUGAACGCUGGCGGCGUGCCUAAUACAUGCAAGUCGAGCGAACAGAUAAGGAGCUUGCUCCUUUGACGUUAGCGGCGGACGGGUGAGCAACACGUGGAUAACCUACCUAUAAGACUGGGAUAACUUCGGGAAACCGGAGCUAAUACCGGAUAACAUAUUGAACCGCAUGGUUCAAUAGUGAAAGGGGGCUUUGCUGUCACUUAUAGAUGGAUCCGCGCCGUAUUAGCUAGUUGGUAAGGUAACGGCUUACCAAGGCAACGAUACGUAGCCGACCUGAGAGGGUGAUCGGCCACACUGGAACUGAGACACGGUCCAGACUCCUACGGGAGGCAGCAGUAGGGAAUCUUCCGCAAUGGGCGAAAGCCUGACGGAGCAACGCCGCGUGAGUGAUGAAGGUCUUCGGAUCGUAAAACUCUGUUAUCAGGGAAGAACAAAUGUGUAAGUAACUGUGCACAUCUUGACGGUACCUGAUCAGAAAGCCACGGCUAACUACGUG